UACGAAGGUCCCAAGCGUUAUCCGGAUUUAUUGGGUUUAAAGGGUGCGUAGGCGGACUAUUAAGUCAGUGGUGAAAGCCCCAAGCUUAACUUGGGAACUGCCAUUGAUACUGAUGGUCUUGAGUACAUUUGAGGUGGGCGGAAUGUGUCAUGUGGCGGUGAAAUGCUUAGAUAUGACACAGAACACCGAUUGCGAAGGCAGCUCACUAAACUGUAACUGACGCUGAGGCACGAAAGCGUGGGGAGCAAACAGG
rnacentral:rRNA from 1 species